AUUCUGCCCAAGCGGGGAAGGAUGAGAAGCUUCGGCCAAGGUUCGACUUGAGCGCCAGCGAGAGAGCGUUGCCGCAGGCAACGAUCCGAAGGGCGAAGCGCGCAGCGCUGAGUAAUCCUUCCCCCACCACCA
rnacentral:sRNA from 1 species